rnacentral:lncRNA from 1 species
UUUUUUUUUUUUUUUUUUGGCCACACUCUUGGCAUAUGGAAGUUCCUGGGUCAGGGACUGAAUCGAGCUGUGGCUGUAACCUUUGCCAUAGUUGCGGCAACACCAGAUCCUUAACCCGUUUUACCACAGCAGGAACUCCUGUAAUCUGGAUUCUUGAUGGAGAUCUUGGUGCUGCCCUCCAGAAAACCAUGAAUCCAGGACAGUUUGCUUUGGCAGCCUGACAUGUAUUCCAUUCUCUUAUGAUCUUUCCUACUCCAAGUACAAUUCCAGGCCUUUCUCAAUGAUUCCUUCAGUUAAAUAGUCUUGGAUAUCCUCCAUAGUAAGUCGUUUUCCCAUAAAGGACAUCCAUUCCAGGAUAGAGAACUCUGAUGACAUCCAACAAACUGGAUUCCACAGGUACUUAGACCACUGUUCCCCACUCAUCCAGCUAGGCCUAAUAGUGGUCAUGUGACAACCGGAGGGAAACUGGUGGCUUAGUGGUGCUUCAGGAAGCUCUGCUAAUGUGGAUGGAGGGAAAUGUAAUAAAGCAAAUAUAGUAAAAUGUUAAUGAUAGAAUCUAGAUAUUGGGUAUAUGGAUGCUCACUUUAUCCUAUUUUAUUUUUUUAUAUCCUAUUUUAAUUGAAAGAAAACUUUCAGAAUGAAAUGUUGGGGGGAAAAAAAUUCCCUUAAAGUGUCUGGUGCUGUCAGUGGUGAUCCGCUAAGAUCUUCAGCACUAGCUCUUGUUCUGCUAGGUGUUCAGAGAAGCAGGUAGACCUAAGAAGGGGAACAGCAUUGGCAGCAGAGCCUGCCAAUUCUCAAGAUAUUUGUUGAUGGAAACAGGCAAGUUUGAGAAUGAGGCAUAAAGGAUGAUGCCAUUUGUGUAAAAAUAAAAACAAAAAACCUCCCAAUUGCAAGCAGUUUCAUGUGCAGUUAAUGUGUGUAGCAUCAAAAAAGGCUGGAAGGACACACACAUGCUCACAGCCAUUACCUCUAGAAGGUGGUCAAAAGAGUUCACUCUUACUGCCAUGUUUUCAAAAUUUGUUGGUAAUGUACCCAUGUAUUACUUAAAGAAUUGAAAAUUAAUUUAAAAAGAGAAAGUAAACUAGAACAUGGGUGUGGAGGUUCAACAGGUCUCUUCUGAAUUCUGGCUCACCUACACGUUGUAUAUUUGGGCAGGUUAACCUCUUUUGUGUUACUUUCCUCAUUUGUGAAAUGAAUUAAUACUAUUGAUAUUAUUAUUAAUGUUUUGAAGAUUUAAAGUGUUAUAUAAAAGCGAGCGGUACAUACGGAUAGCCCACAAGUAGUAACUGUUACUGUCGCUGAGCCUGGAGCACAAACCUUCAGUGCUAUAUUCACGGAGGCAUAUGAAUGAAGUGACUUGCACCCGUGAGCAAUACAAAUUGCCCCGCAACUGACAGUAGAGGAGAAAGUCCCAGCCUUGGCCACAGUGUGAGGGAUUUCUCCAUCAGUUUGUGUCCACCUGUCUUUUGUAGAACAUGAUGUUCCAACAUAAUAAGCAGAGGUUACCUAUUGCUUCUCAGGAUUUUGUGGUUGAGGAUAGCUUGGACUCCAUAUGCUGUGUGUUUGUCUAAUUUCCACUCUCUCUAAUCUCUUCUCUGCCAUGCUGCCAGUCUUCAUUUUGAAAGCAAAUAACUCCCAUCUUAAAAUCAAGUAAUACCUCCUAUGAGAGGAGCCCUUGGGGGUUAUCUUCUCAUCCUGACUCUUCUUGCUCCAAAGACCAUCACUCCACAUGCUCAGGCCGUGGGAGCCAUGUUCGUGUUAAUGGACCUUAUUUGCCCACACAGAGGUGGACAUCUGAUACAAAACAUGGCCCAUCUGGAGUAGAGAUGGAGAGCCUAGCAUGGCUGCUGGGGCUGAAACCAUGUACAAGGGGAAUAUGGAAGCCUUGAGUGUUAAACAGACUAGAGAAGUAGGUACUUAUGUCUCUGAUUACUUUCUUGUUCUUGGUCUAGGCUCUUUUGAAGCUCCGCUGCGUUUCCGUUUUUGGAUUCUAGGGGAUUUUUCCUACAUCCAUAUGAUAAAUCUUCUACUAUCUCCCUCAUUUUAUUUUUUCUUAAGCUAAUUUAAGUGGGAUUUUUAUUACAUCCUAAUGCCUUUUAGGAUGAAGCUCAAACACUUUAGCAUGGGCUGCAGUGUUCUUUACGGUCUCGUCUACCUUUGCCUACAUUUUACUUCUGACCCCUCUUAAUCUGGACCAUAUACAAUUCAGCCCUGAUCAGUCUCCUUUCCUCACUUGGCUCCUUUAAGGCUCAGUUCCUCCAGAAAAGAGAUCCUGAUACCUUCCCAGCCUGUGAGGAACUCCUUUCCUAUGUACUAGUUACACUGGUACUGCGAGUUCCCAUCGUGGCGCAGUGGGAACAAAUCCGACUAGGAACCAUGAGGUUGCGGGUUUGAUCCCUGGCCUUGUUCAGUGAGUGGGUUAAGGAUUGGUGAGCUGUGGUGUAAAUUGCAGACAUGGCUCAGAUCCUGCAUUGCUGUGGCUGUGGUGUAGGCUGGCAAUUGUAACUCCAAUUUGACCCCUAGCCUGGGAAUCUCCAUAUGCUGUGGGUGCAG